UACGGAGGAUUCAAGCGUUAUCCGGAUUUACUGGGUGUAAAGGGAGCGUAGGCGGCGCGUUAAGUCUGAUGUGAAAACCCGAGGCUCAACCACGGGAGUGCAUUGGAAACUGUGCAGCUGGAGUGCAGGAGAGGUAAGCGGAAUUCCUAGUGUAGCGGUGAAAUGCGUAGAUAUUAGGAGGAACACCAGUGGCGAAGGCGGCUUACUGGACUGUAACUGACGUUGAGGCUCGAAAGCGUGGGGAGCAAACAGG
rnacentral:rRNA from 1 species